GAUGAGCAUGCGUCCCAUUAGCUAGUUGGUAAGGUAACGGCUUACCAAGGCUACGAUGGGUAGGGGUCCUGAGAGGGAGAUCCCCCACACUGGUACUGAGACACGGACCAGACUCCUACGGGAGGCAGCAGUGAGGAAUAUUGGUCAAUGGGCGCAAGCCUGAACCAGCCAUGCCGCGUGCAGGAUGACGGUCCUAUGGAUUGUAAACUGCUUUUGUACAGGAAGAAACACUCCCUCGUGAGGGAGCUUGACGGUACUGUAAGAAUAAGGAUCGGCUAACUCCGUGCCAGCAGCCGCGGUAAUACGGAGGAUCCAAGCGUUAUCCGGAAUCAUUGGGUUUAAAGGGUCCGUAGGCGGGUUAAUAAGUCAGUGGUGAAAGCCCAUCGCUCAACGAUGGAACGGCCAUUGAUACUGUUAGUCUUGAAUUAUUAGGAAGUAACUAGAAUAUGUAGUGUAGCGGUGAAAUGCUUAGAGAUUACAUGGAAUACCAAUUGCGAAGGCAGGUUACUACUAAUGG
rnacentral:rRNA from 1 species